AUCGCAGAAAAGCUUCAGCGUUUAAUUGUGCAAGUUCAAUCGAACUGUGGUUCCCGUCGUCUCAGCUGUUGAGGUUAGGUUGAAUACAAUUGCAUAGGACCCAUGGCUGAGCAGAAUCAAAUUCGGAAGGAUGACCGGAAGUCUGAGGAACGAACCACCAUUUUGAUUAUGCUUGAGGAAACUGUCACACCUCAACCCUUAUGACGUAUGCACUUACUAUAAAUAAAUUCAAAAUUUAAAAUAAAUAAUCUACACGUCAAGUACAAAAACACACAUAUUAUAUUAUUUCAAAAACCAACAUUUAUCAGGUACAUAUUUCAAACAUUCUAAGCCGUAGUGGGACCCUCUCACCACUCUAUAUACUAUACAUUUAUCUACAUGCAAAAAUGAUGAGGAGGUGAAGGUUGCCAAAACGCGUCAGCUGCCGACCCUGAUAACAUGUGGAGUUCCUAUGACCCACGUCAAUCAAAAACGUCACUAAUAUCUUAUUCCUGAAAAAUAAUAGUGGUUUAUGUGAGCCACAACUCAGUGUAUAUAAAUCUUACCUUUAAUUCCACAGCCCAAACAAUCAAUUAUAUUCUUUAACCAAUAUAUAUAACAAUAAUCAACAAAAUUAAAAAUGAUUCCAUAUAGAUAUGCAUAUGCCACUCUGUUCAGUUUAUUAUUCUGUGACAUAUCAAGCCUGACAUCUGCCCGAGAUUCCAUUAUAUCUGACCCGAAUGUCUCAUUGUCAUUGUACAUAUAUAUGACCCUAAGGUCCAUUGCCAUUGUAUAUAUGGCCCGUAGGUCUCAUUGCCAUUGUAUACAUAUAUAUGACCUAAAGGUCCAUUACGAUUGUAUAUAUCCAUUGCCAUUGUAUAUGACCCAUAGGUCCAUUGCCAUUGAUAAGACCCAUGCAAGAUUGUCACAGAUCCUUUUUAAUCCAAUGAUUCAAAUAAUUCUAAAACCAUGUGUAAACGUAUCAAUUGUAUCAAUUUCAUAUUUUGAUCAUAUUUCAUCCAAUAACACCUUUAUAAUAUAAAACAUAUAUCUAUUGCACAAAUUACAUAUUCAUAUCAUCUUUCACAAUCAAUAUCAAAUAACACAUAACUAUAUCAUGUUCAUAUCAUAUAAUUCAAAUAUUCACUCUAAGUCAGCAGCAUAUAGCAAUUAACCACAUAACGCAUGGAAAAUUAAAAGUAUGAUUUAUACACACCUGAUAAAGAUAGAUAAUCUGGCCAGGUUUCUCGAUCUAUAGCCCUUAUUCUUACAAGGAAAAUUAAUCACCUCUUCAAUUCUUCCUCUACAAAGCACCAGAAUAGGUUUUUCCCCUUUUUUUUUUCUUUCUUAUUCUAUUCGUAUGAUAUGUGAAGCUUAAAAGCUUUAUAUGAUGAAGAACUACAAUAAUAUAUCUAAGUCAGCUAAAUAAAUUAUUGAACCACUAAAUUGAUUGAUAUUAUCCAUUGUCUUUCUUUUAUAUUUUUAAUACUAUAGUUUUAAGAUGACUUAUACAUUUGGCAACUUACACGUAUUUUCUACAAGUACACCUAUUACAAUUAAUAUAUUAAAGUAUAACAUAUAUAUAUAUAUUGAUGGCCAACUCUAUAUGUUAAAAAAAGAGAUCACCCUAUUAUUAUUACACUAUUUUCUAAAUAAAGUAGCUACUUGCAUACAACAAAAUUUCUUUAAACUACUAACUAUCUAAUAUUCACAGUUAGUUAAUAAAUACAUAAUCAUAUAUGCAUAAAGGUAAUAUACAUAUGUACUAUAUGAUAUUCGUGCAUAUAUAUUAAUAGAUGAUCUAAUUUACUUAGUUAUUUAAUUAUACUUACCUAUAUUUAACAUAUAUGUAUACAUAAAUAUAUUAUUAAAUCUUUAGAACCUUGCUCAAAAAUAUAAUUAACUAUACUUUAUUUUCUUAUUUAAUUUAAUUCUAUCCUCUUAUGCAAGUGACAAUAUAAUAUGCAAUAAUGUAAAAGGAUGCAUGUUUCGGGUUGGGGAUGUCACAGAAAUACUGAAGAACCUUAGGAUAAAUCUCCUCCUGGAAAGCAUGCUACUCACUAUGGUUGGACCUAAACCAAAAAAAAAGGAAACGGGGUGGUAGAGAUUCACUAGAAGAACUGAUUAAGUCCAUUCUAGCACAUGUAAAGCAGUUAUAUAGGAUUGUCCGUGUAAGUGAUAGAUCAUGCAUAGACAAUCUUCAGAUGGAUAGAAACACAUUUGGUAGAUUAUGUCGACUUCUGCGUGACCGAGUUGGAUUAAUAGAUCAGAAAUUUGUUACGGUUGAAGAACAAAUUGCUAUGUUUUUGUGCAUUCUAUCCCACCACAAAAAGACACGGAUUGUUGGUCACGAUUUCAUGCGUUCACAAACUGUGUCUAAAUAUAUGCAUAUUGUACUCCGUGGGGUCCUUAAUUUACACGAGGUGUUUUUAGUAAAACCUGAGCCAGUUGAUGAUGAUUGUACUGAUCCAAGAUGGAAAUGGUUUAAGAGUUGCCUUGGAGCUUUAGAUGGUACGUAUAUCAACGUCGGGGUACCCAUUGCGGACACCCCUAGGUACCGAAAUAGGAAGGGACAUGUAACGACAAAUACACUUGCGGUCUGUGAUCGACGACUCCGCUUUGUGUAUGUACUGCCGGGAUGGGAGGGAUCAGGGGUGAUUCGAUGAUAUUACGAGAUGCUAUAAGCCGGCCUCUUGGACUGAAAGUUCCCAAAGAUUGCUAUUACCUUUGCGACAAUGCGUAUGCCAACAGUGAGGGAUUCAUCGCACCAUAUAAAGGCGUUCGAUAUCAUUUGAAAGAGUGGGGUCCUAGAACACAAGUGCCGCAAACUCCCGAAGAACUGUUCAACUUGAAGCAUACUAAAGCAAGGAAUGUGAUUGAGCAUUCUUUUGCCGUGCUUAAGAUGCAUUGGGGAAUCCUUCGCAGCCCGAGCUUCUAUCCUAUUGACGUGCAAACUGGCUUGAUAAUUGCUUGAUUCCUCCUGCACAAUUUCAUUCAUACUAAUAUGGAAGUCGAUCCCUAUGAUGACGUCGUAAGCACUCAAAUUUAUGACGGGUAUGGCAGUGACAACGAUGAGCCGGUAGUGCCUACUAUCAAUGUUGUCUCAUCAAUAUUUAUCGCUGCAUUGUUGGGUCAAAGAAUGAUCGGGUGAACGUAGCAAUAUGAGUUUAUGAAUUCAAUCAUUAUCAUUUAUGUAUGUGAGCUAGUCUAUUCGAGAAACAAAUGGUGUGUAUGAAAUGACUAAAUGUUCUUGUAUGAAACGUUGUUAUUUAUGACCCGCAUUUAUAAUUUAUUUUCUUUGUUACUGA